rnacentral:lncRNA from 1 species
AGGGACGACGCAAAGAAACUAAUAGUUAUAAAUUGUAGUAGUCAUACGUAUUACUAUUUGAGAACGUGUUUAAGCU